AGAGCUUUGGAGAGGAGUGUGGGACAGACAGAUGGACCUGAGAUGCCGCUGGCCUCUCAGCUGAAGUAGCCCAGUCUGCCUCAGUCUACCCUCACUUUCAGAUGACUAUAAGUAAUGUUUUGUUGCCACUUUGAGGUUGGGUUUAUUUCCUUGAAAACUAUGUGCAGGAAUUUGAUGUCUCAUCACUGGAAAAAAACAAAAACCAACCCCCCCCUCAAAAAAAAAACCCAUGAAAACUCAAAAUUUAUAGUGCUUGUUUAUUAAUACUUGUUAGGUCAUUACACAUGUGCACACACACACACACACACAAACACAUCCACGUUUUGCCCUUGGGUGUGAAUUUUAGAGGUUUUGGGGUUGGGUUUUAAAUCAGCGCCCAGAGCUGGUGAAACAGUUCUUCCGUAAAGUGCUUGUCUAUCCACACAAGCGUGAUGAUCUGAGUUUGAUCCCCAGAACCCACCUGGAAUCAGCAAUGGUCGCACUUGCUUAUAAUCCCACUACUGUGGGUGGAGGAGCAGAGAUGAAACCCCAGGACUCGCUGUCUAGCCACCAGAGUGUAUUUGGUGAGCUCCAGGCUAGUGAGAGAUUGUUUGUUUGUUUGUUUAUUUGUUCCUUAAUGUGGACAGUUCUUAAGGAACCACACUCAGGUUUGUCCUUUGAUGUCCAUAAGCAUGUGAACACGUGUUUCCAUGAACACUGCAUACAUAUGUGAGCAUACGCAUAGACACACACACACACUCACCUCUUAUUAACUAGUAGCUCACUAGCUAGAACUGCUUUGUCCUCAGAGGAAGGCUGUUGUUAUAGUACAAAAAGUCCUGUAUGUGUUAUAAGGCUAUUUAGGUUUAGACUAGUUUACGUGUAUGUGUGUGCACCUCCAUGAGUUUAUGUGUACCUCAUAUGUGCCAGAGGGCGUUGGGCUCUCUGGAACUGGAGUUAGAGGCAGUUGUGAGCUACCUGAUAGGGGUGCUGGGAACUGAACCUGGGACCUCCAGCAGGUAAACACUCUUAACUGGUGAGCUUCCUCUCCCAUCCCACUAUUAUAUAUUUAAUAUAAUAAAAAUGACUUCACUGUGUAGAAAAAUAAGAAUCUUAGAACCUUGGAGUUACAUAGACUGAUAUCUCAUUAGGCUUUUGAUUUGCAUUUCCCUAGUGCUUAGUGACGCCUGGACUGUAUUCUUAUAUGCUUAUUGGCUUUGAAUGUAUAUUAGAAAAUGCCUGUACACAUAUGUGUAAGACAUGGUGUGCCCUCAAAGAAGGCAUCAGAGACGAGACUGAUGGCCCCUUUGCUUUUUAUUCAUUUAGCACUGGAAACUCUAAAGCCACCCAGCUCAACUUUAGUGAUUUCCACGCCCCCUGUGCCUUACACAUGGUUUUUCCUCUUGCAGAUUCUACAUAGAGAGCAUCUCCUACCUGAAGGACAAUGCUACCAUUGAGCUCUUCUUCCUGAAUGCCAAGUCCUGCAUCUACAAGGUAGGAUUGUGCUCUUCCCAUUCAGUUUCC
rnacentral:lncRNA from 1 species